rnacentral:rRNA from 1 species
GACAGAUUGAGAGCUCUUUCUUGAUUCGGUGGGUGGUGGUGCAUGGCCGUUCUUAGUUGGUGGAGCGAUUUGUCUGGUUAAUUCCGAUAACGAACGAGACUCUAACCUGCUAAAUAGGUGGCGGGUUGGUGAUGGGGAACUGGGGUGUCGGGGAAAGGGGGGUAGGGCGGCGAGGUUCGGGCYCGAGUUUUUGGGGGUUGUCCUCAACCUUGUCUUACGUUUCUUUCUGAUUCUUCACGGGGUCAGGAAGGGGCUGGGGCAGGGGGAAAGGGCAGCUCUCGGGCUCGGGAUUCCCCUCGUCGUUUCUCCUCCUCAACUUUUCCGGCAUCUCCCCCUUCCGCCCGUCCGUCACAAACAAACUCUUCUUAGAGGGACAAGCGGCGUCCAGCCGCGUGACAGUGAGCAAUAACAGGUCUGUGAUGCCCUUAGAUGUCCUGGGCCGCACGCGCGCUACACUGAAGGAACCAGCGUGUCUCAAACUCCCUGUCCGAGAGGACCGGGUAACCGCUGAAUCUCCUUCGUGGUUGGGAUUGGGGACUGCAAUGAU